UACGUAGGGUGCGAGCGUUGUCCGGAAUUAUUGGGCGUAAAGGGCUCGUAGGCGGUCUGUUGCGUCGGGAGUGAAAACUCAGGGCUUAACCCUGAGCCUGCUUCCGAUACGGGCAGACUAGAGGUAUGCAGGGGAGAACGGAAUUCCUGGUGUAGCGGUGAAAUGCGCAGAUAUCAGGAGGAACACCGGUGGCGAAGGCGGGUCUCUGGGCCGAAACUGACGCUGAGGAGCGAAAGCGUGGGGAGCAAACAGG
rnacentral:rRNA from 1 species